rnacentral:lncRNA from 1 species
AUCUUGGGUGAUGCCCUAAAAACCCAAUGUCAAAUCAAACAAAGUGACAACACAAUCUCAAAGACAUCUUUUGAAAGUUUCAAAACAGGGGGGUUUGCACUUACAUAUUUUAGUUUAUGACUUUGCUUGGGUCAAACACAUGCAUCAGAACUUCAUCUAGCCAUCAUUGCUUACAUUUUGUUUUUAUGACAGUAUUUGAGCAUUGUUCCAGACAGAUUUUCUUUUUAUCUUUUCUUCUUGGAAUUCACAAAAACAAAAAAGUUAAGAUAUGACAUUAAGUUGAAUAAAUAAGUGUAACUAACUUUCAUUCAAUUAUCAAUUCACAACAUAAACAAUGCAAUGGUAGGAAAUUGUGUAAACCUCAAAUGCAUGAAUUCAAUCAAGAAUGAGUUGUUGUGUCACAGGUGGAUGCAGACUUCCGUAUGAAGAGGAACUCAUGUAGUCAAAGGAGGAAGGAAACUUCUGAUUUAACUUGUGCAUGGCUUACAUGUUGUUCAGCUCCACCUCAAUGGCUUUGAAAAAAGAGUUGAACCUGUCAAAGACUUUGCAGUCCAGGAAGCAUACCAAUGGUAUGACUGGGUGUUUUUGGUUCUUGAUAAGGAGAAUAUUUUCAGUAUUUGGUGGCAGCAUUAGAUCUCCAAGAAACCAUUAGCAACAAUUUUUCUCUCACAUUGUCAGGAGUGAGAUAUUAAUUUCAAAAACUUUGGAAAGGGGGGGGGGAGGGUUUCAAUUUUUAAUAUAUAUAAGAAACAGGAAAAUUAACAAGAAUCAUUUUAAAAUAAACAUAUAAUCAAUUUUAGAGGGGCUUCUUAAGCAAACAAUAAGAAGAGACUUAGUCCAAUGAGUUUUUUUAUAAACACUCCAAGAGAUUUCAAUGGCUUUAUAUGACAACACAAUCACAAGGCAUUGUUAUUUCUAUGUCUUAACAAUUGCCAAUUGUCUGAUAUAUAUAACUUUAUCACAUGUUAUCAACAGUCUUUUCACAAAUUCCAUCUGUUCUUAUUUUGAAAUGAAACAGUACAUCUAUAAAAUCAAACAUCAAAAUGAUAAUAUUGGCACAUAUAUUUCAAACAUGUGUUAAACACUUUUCUAAUCGUACUUGAAUUUCUUGAUUUUUCUUUGAUACUUUAGAUUCAUGAGUAAUGUAAUGAAAA